rnacentral:rRNA from 1 species
UACGGAGGAUGCGAGCGUUAUCCGGAUUUAUUGGGUUUAAAGGGUGCGUAGGCGGGUUAUCAAGUCAGCGGUAAAAUCGCGGGGCUCAACCCCGCUCCGCCGUUGAAACUGUGUCCCUUGAGUGCGCGAAGGGUAGGCGGAAUUCGUGGUGUAGCGGUGAAAUGCUUAGAUAUCACGAAGAACUCCGAUUGCGAAGGCAGCCUGCUGGACUGUAACUGACGCUGAUGCUCGAAAGUGUGGGUAUCAAACAGG